rnacentral:rRNA from 1 species
AUACGGAGGGUGCAAGCGUUGUUCGGAAUUACUGGGCAUAAAGAGCACGUAGGCGGUCUACUAAGUCAGGUGUGAAAUCCCUCGGCUCAACCGGGGAACUGCAUUUGAUACUGGUAGACUAGAGGACGGUAGGGGUGAGUGGAACUCCAGGUGGAGCGGUGAAAUGCGUAGAUAUCUGGAGGAACACCUGUGGCGAAAGCGGCUCACUGGACCGUCUCUGACGCUGAGGUGCGAAAGCUGGGGUAGCGAACGGGAUUAGAUACCCCGGUAGUCC